GCGUGGCGGGGGAAGAUUCCGGCGUUCUGCCCGCGAAGGGCACUGGCGAGUUCAGCGACCCUGGCUCUGCCUCGGACUCUGCCCGGCGGGUGAAUGGGAUUUACCACCGGGAUCCGCUCUACGUGCUGCGGUUUGGCAGGAGGGUGAGGGGCGCGCAGGAGGAGGGACGCCCGGCGGUUAUGUAAUGGGUCAGCCCGCUGUGACCCGAGCUAGCUCGCUCCGGACUGCCCGACCUCCCCGGAACAGCCGUGCGUGCCCCUGACCUAGGCAAGCAGAGGGCCCGGUGUUCUCAAAAAGAACUUUCCCCGGCAGGGCCAAAGAGCAAGCUGUGGAGAAGGAAUCCAAGGCCUCCUUUAGGUGUAUCUGCAGCCCGUCCCAUUUCACAGCACAGAAAACCGAGGCCCCAAAGUGUUCGUUUAAAAAGCUGUUCCUUGGAGUUAGACCGGCCUGGAUUCAACUCUUCUGAAAAGUUCAGUGACCUUAGACAAGUUACUUAAAUCUCCGAGCCUCAGUUUCUUCACCUCUAAAAGAAUGAUAGUGCGCACUUCCUGUGGUUGGCGGAAAUGGAGGCGCAGAAGCCCGGCGUAUGUAACAAGCCCAGUGAAAGUUACUGCUGUUGAUUGUGCUGAGGUUCGCCCAAGUCCCCAAACGUCGCCUUGGGAUCGCCUAUCUCACCGGCUUGAGGAAGGAGCUGCCGAGAUGUACCUCAGAUAAGGCAGAUGCCAGGCUAACCUUCCUAGUGUUCAGAUGUAGUUUGGCUGACUCUACCACAGGCAGAGUGCUGUUCAUCUCUUGCGAGCGCAAUUGCAUCCUAGAAAACCUAGAGUUGCAUACAACAGCAUGGCCAUCCUGUGAGUGCCUGUUUGAUGAUGAUAUAAGGGCAAUUACAUUUAAAGCAAAGUUCCAAAGAAGCACACCCUCCUUUGUGAAGAUGUCAGAUUUAGCAACACACCUAGAGGAUAAGCAUUCAGGGAGCUGCAUGUUGACGUCGGCCUGAACCACGGGACCGCCGUCACCAACACCGACGUGCGCAUCAGCAGCAGGAGCCGUGCGGCCACCGGGGUGCGGCUCCCAGACCCAGGGCCGCCCUGCCCCCUGCGCGGGAGGGCGAGACGCCCCGGGAGGCCAGUGCGGGGAGCAGUGGGCCCUGGGCAGGCCUGGCAAGCAGCCAGUGCAGGCAGGCCUCUAGAGCAGCAUCUCACAGGCAGCUCAGGGACCUGAGCCCCACAUCCAGGAGCUGAACCCGCAUCAGGCUUGGGCAGUGCUCUGGGAGUGUUACUAAAAAGAGCACCCGGGGUACUACUUACUGUCCAGACCUUGCAAACCUCUGCUGUCUCUGUGAAAGCAAUGUCAUUGAAGGCACUUGGAAGGGACCAAUUAGAGCUCUAAACAGACUCCAGAAACAGUGCUGAGGCUCUGCCCACCCUGGACCCACCUAGCCAUCCCCACUGGCCCGAGCCUUGUGCCGGGGAGCUCCGGGCUCCAUCUCGGAUUCCAGCGGGGUUAGCUGGAGAGGCUGGGACACUGUGUCCUAGGAGACAGAGUGCAGGACCUCUGGGACACUCGGGCCCUCCAAAUUGGGGUCUCGGGUACAGGGGUCGGGAGGACUGGACCAGCUGUGGCCAAGCAGAGUCAGGGACUUCAGCUGUGUGGCUGAAGCAGCUGGGAGGGCUCUGAACCCACUCCUGACCAUCACAGCCCCCACCUCCUGAGCCUGUCUGGGGACACUGGCUGUCACUUUGCAGAUGUCAUCAGCCUCCCUGUGCCUCUUCUUUCUCAUGCUCCUCAGCUGUUCCUCUGUCCUGACUCAUUCUGGUCUCUGCAGAGAGACUCUCCUAUUUUGGUCGGGAAGCUGUCAGGGCC